rnacentral:lncRNA from 1 species
ACCAUCAUCCUGCCACUGCCUUCUGUCAUCCUUGACAGAAGUACCUGAGGCUAAGGUCCUUGCCAUCCUCCUGUCACCACCCUCUUCCCCUACUCCUCACCCUUCUCCUGCCACUCAAGUGACCACUGGUUGUAGUGGGCCCUGCAUGCAUUGGAUCUAGCAACAUCCACCCUUGGGGUUGCCAGAUCUAAGGGAGAUGGGAGGAGGUCGAUCCAGAUGGACAACAAAGGUGAGGGGUGUCGGUCGAGGAGGAGUAGGUCUACGUUUCAAGAUCAACAGUGACAGUGAUGCCUCCACAACAACUUGGCAACACCAACCACAACACUUCUUCUAGGAUAUGGGCAAAGGUGAGAAGGCAAGGGGUGCACAAGGUUGAGUGUC